UUGCCCAGUAACGGCGAGUGAAGCGGCAACAGCUCAAAUUUGAAAUCUGGCCUCGUGCCCGAGUUGUAAUUUGUAGAGGAUGCUUUUGGCGACGCGCCUUCCGAGUUCCCUGGAACGGGACGCCAUAGAGGGUGAGAGCCCCGUCCGGUCGUGCGCCUAGCCUCUGUAAAGCUCCUUCGACGAGUCGAGUAGUUUGGGAAUGCUGCUCUAAAUGGGAGGUAUACGUCUUCUAAAGCUAAAUACCGGCCAGAGACCGAUAGCGCACAAGUAGAGUGAUCGAAAGAUGAAAAGCACUUUGAAAAGAGGGUUAAAUAGUACGUGAAAUUGCUGAAAGGGAAGCGCUUAUGACCAGACUUGGGCGCGGCGGAUCAUCCGGCGUUCUCGCCGGUGCACUCCACCGCCCCAGGCCAGCAUCAGUUCGCGCCGGGGGACAAAGGCUUCGGGAAUGUGGCUCUCUCGGGAGUGUUAUAGCCCGCUGCGUAAUACCCUGGUGCGGACUGAGGUCCGCGCUCUGCAAGGAUGCUGGCGUAAUGGUCAUCAGUGACCCGUCUUGAAACACGGACCAAGGAGUCGUCUUCGUAUGCGAGUGUUCGGGUGUCAAACCCCUACGCGGAAUGAAAGUGAACGUAGGAGAGAGCUUCGGCGCAUCUCCGACCGAUCCUGAUGUUCUCGGAUGGAUUUGAGUAAGAGCAUACGGGGCCGGACCCGAAAGAAGGUGAACUAUGCCUGUGUAGGGUGAAGCCAGAGGAAACUCUGGUGGAGGCUCGCAGCGGUUCUGACGUGCAAAUCGAUCGUCAAACAUGGGCAUGGGGGGCGAAAGACUAAUCGAACCUUCUAGUAGCUGGGUUCCGCCGA
rnacentral:rRNA from 1 species